GCACUGCCGAGGAGUCACACAAUAAGACGAAACGGCCGUCCAGUGC
rnacentral:hammerhead_ribozyme from 1 species